UUGAAGGAAUAGACUCCCAAAGUCUCACCACAGAAAUGAACCACAAAAUUGCUGCUUCUUCUGCUUCCAGCAGGUGGUUUCCCAUUGAACAGAGAAGUUGCUGCAAUAGCUACUGACUUCAGAACAUUGUCACCUCUGCUACAAUCCACACCAGCAAAUGGAUGUGUUUGUUGUGCUUACCUUUCUGCAACUUAUCUCAGCUCAGAAGUCAAGUCUCUCACAAAAAUAGGCUUCUGAAGUUUGAAAUGAAUAGGCAAAGGUAAGUCAAACAUUUUUCAUAAUAAUGUUGACGUGAAUGAGACAAGAAUACAGGGUCUUUAUCAGUAUUUCUUUUUUAAUCUCAGAUUUCUGACAUUCGUUUAAAACCAUCUUUUUUUUUUUUGUAACUGAUGAGUUCUGCAUGUAUAGUCUGCUAAUGUGUGACUAAUACACUAAGUGCUUCUUCCCCAGUGAAGAGAACAAGAUCAUUUGGAAGAGAUUCAAUUCCAAACCUCCUCUUAUCAGGUUUGCUUUAUUAGCUUUGGUGUCUGGAUAUACACAGUACACCUUAUUCCUGCUGCAAGUGGAAUUGUUUGCUUGGAGAGGGAAACAUUGUUUGCCCUUGAGAAACCUUCAAAGUGAGUGAAAAUUGCUGUGAUGCAAACUCUGGAAAGCAAUUUGUAAACCUUCGGGCCAUCGGCGUUGCUAUUUCACAUCUUAGUAUCUGUCCUCCCUAUUCCAUCACAUUUUUUAUCCACCUUGUUAUGUCAGAAGAAUUAUUUUGUUUUCUAUAGUAGGCACAGGGAUAUAAUCUGGGGAGAAUAUCAAAAUGCCAAAGCCAUAUAAUCCAGUAAGUGAGGACAAUGUUAGAAUUUAAGGAAAAUUCCAUAGAAAUGAUAUUUCACUGUUAAGCUUAUGCCCCUCCCCCCCCUUUUCCUUAAGUUGUUUUCCUAGUAACCUACUGGCUAAUAUCUUUUUUUAUUUCCACACUUCAUGUAACUAAUAUCCCACACUGUUAUUCUGCUAAGGAUUACCUGUCCCUUUUUCAAAAGCAUAUGUAGUUUAAGGAAAACAUUCUGUCUGUUAAAUAGUGCUGAGUAAAUGUUUAAUGAAUGGAACUGAGUGAAAAAAUCCCCAAAGAUUCCUGGGCACAGAUUAUUUAGCCUUGGAGUUCUCAGUCAGUUCCCUAAUACAAAUGCUCUGUCUAAAUUCUUUACCUCAGGGUAGAGUCUUAAUUUUUACUGGGGGAAGGGAGAGGUAAAUAGCCAAUGUAUUGAUUUAAAG
rnacentral:lncRNA from 1 species